CUUUAACCAUUUUUAUAUAUUCCAUUCUUAGAAAUAGUUUUAUUCAUCAUGGGUAUUUAUUGAAUAAUGAAAAAAAAUUUUGAAUCAAUGGAUACUACUAAUGACCUUCUCAGCUGCCCACCUCCAGAGCCUUCCAAUACAACUGAUGGAGCUUUGUACCUACUCAGGCUGGGGUGGGAAGUGCCUGGAUUCAGAUGCCUUGGUCUCCUAGGACUGCCAAACUCUUCUUGACACGUCUAUCAGGUUGAUAUAUUCCUGUCUCCUUUUGCUACUUUAAUUUUGAGACAGUGCUCUGAGAAACCAAGCCUGCUGUAUGAGACACUGUCUGUUUAACAAUGUUACUGGAAGACUGGUCCUUAAAUGAACUGUUUGAAAAUAAUAUUUAUAUAAACAAUCUACUUUAAAUGAGAUGGUUGAUACAAAUAGCUGUUCUUCAGUUGAUAACCAGGGAUGUCCCCACCUAACAAUUUCCCAUUACUGUAGUAAUGGCUCUCCCCCAUGCUUUCCCCUCGCUCCUCUGCCUCCUGGCCAACUCUGGUACUUCUUCACGUGGCUCUGCAUGGUGUGGUGUGCCUCCUCCUCUUGGGAAUUGUAGAUUACUCCAUGUUUUUCAUAAACAUAGAAUCACAAAGAAGCCUUAGGCUGUUGGGAAGCAGAACAUGCUGGCUUACUAUUGCACAAAGACAAAGAUAUUCACCUGGAAGCAUACUCUACAACCAAAAGUCACACCAUCGAUAUUAUUAUCUGUUUGUUUGAGAUCUAUUGCCGUAAACUAUGGUCUGAAGCUUUCGGUUCCUCAAAGCUGAGUCAACAUUGUUGAAAAUCUUCAGUGGAUUUGAUAUAAACACUACCAAUGCAGACAUUUUAUGGAAGAAAAAGGCCUUGUUGUUAUGAUCAGUAGAGCAUCAUCUAGAAUAGUGAUGUGGAUGAAUUUCACCACUAGAGCACUAAAUUCACCCCUGAAAUAAUAACACACAAAACUCUGAGCCGAUAUUGAGUGUUAAGGAUGUCCUUUCAUGUUUCCUCAUGAAGAUGAAGAUUAACUGCGGCUUGCCAAGCAUUUACAGGAUAAUCUUGUUUUUACCUUCAAAAGGCACAUUAAAUGUGAUGAAGCCAGAUAGGCCAGCACUCGUAUUUGCAAUGUUAUCUCCUCUGGUGCAUACAUGCAGCUGAUGCACUUAUGCUGUUGGGGCACUUUAAUAGGUCACUCUAUCAGAAAAAAAGAUGAAGUGUUAAAGGCUGUAUUGGGGCCUGCUAAGUGUAAUCCAAUACAGUGGGUCUGAUCCUGUCGAGUGUGUGAGAUACCGCAGAGGUUGUUAGGCAGUCUGUAGAGCGAGCCCCCCUAAGCUCACUUGCUUCUGGUUUUGUGUGAUUAUAAAGCCCACAAGUCAGGGGCAUCCAGUCCAGUAUCACCAAGAAGGUGCCAACAAUACUGUCAAUGGAAUGAUGCAUUUCUGUCAGUUCCAAAGACUGAGAGAUGCUAUUAAAUGAAUCUCCUAAUUAGCUAUUUUAAAAACAGCUACUUGGAAUGAAUAUAGUUUUGUUGAUUUAAAAAAAAUGAAUCUGCAUAUAGUUCUAGCUUUCAGGAAAAUAUGUCAUUUGGAUGUCAUAAAUAUC
ensembl:lncRNA